GCAGCAGUAGGGAAUAUUGGGCAAUGGACGAGAGUCUGACCCAGCCAUGCCGCGUGCCGGAUGAAGGCCUUCUGGGUUGUAAACGGCUUUUCUCAGGGAAGAAAAAGACCAUGCGUGGUACACUGACGGUACCUGAGGAAUAAGCACCGGCUAACUCCGUGCCAGCAGCCGCGGUAAUACGGAGGGUGCAAGCGUUGUCCGGAUUUAUUGGGUUUAAAGGGUGCGUAGGCGGCUUGUUAAGUCCGGGGUGAAAGCCCACAGCUCAACUGUGGAACUGCCCUGGAUACUGGCAAGCUUGAGUCCAGACGAGGUUGGCGGAAUGGAAGGUGUAGCGGUGAAAUGCAUAGAUACCUUCCAGAACCCCGAUUGCGUAGGCAGCUGACUAGGCUGGUACUGACGCUGAGGCACGAAAGCGUGGGGAGCGAACAGGAUUAGAUACCCUGGUAGUCCACGCCGUAAACGAUGGAUACUCGCUGGUAGCGAUAUACUGUUACUGGCUUAGCGAAAGCGGUAAGU
rnacentral:rRNA from 1 species